rnacentral:rRNA from 1 species
CCUACGGGAGGCAGCAGUGGGGAAUAUUGCACAAUGGGGGAAACCCUGAUGCAGCGACGCCGCGUGAGUGAAGAAGUAUUUCGGUACGUAAAGCUCUAUCAGCAGGGAAGAAAAUGACGGUACCUGACUAAGAAGCCCCGGCUAACUACGUGCCAGCAGCCGCGGUAAGACAUAGGGGGCAAGCGUUAUCCGGAUUUACUGGGUGUAAAGGGAGCGUAGACGGCAGCGCAAGUCUGGAGUCAAAUCCCAUGGCUUAACCAUGGAACUGCUUUGGAAACUGUGCAGCUAGAGUGCAGGAGAGGUAAGCGGAAUUCCUAGUGUAGCGGUGAAAUGCGUAGAUAUUAGGAGGAACACCAGUGGCGAAGGCGGCUUACUGGACUGUUACUGACGUUGAGGCUCGAAGGCGUGGGGAGCAAACAGGAUUAGAUACCCGUGUAGUC